CCUACGGGAGGCUGCAGUGAGGAAUAUUGGUCAAUGGUCGGGAGACUGAACCAGCCAAGCCGCGUGAGGGAGGAAGGUACAGAGUAUCGUAAACCUCUUUUGUCAGGGAACAAAGGCGGGGACGUGUCCCCGGAUGAGUGUACCUGAAGAAAAAGCAUCGGCUAACUCCGUGACAGCAGCCGCGGUAAUACGGAGGCUGCGAGCGUUAUCCGGAUUUAGUGGGUUUAAAGGGUGCGCAGGCGGUCUGUUAAGUCAGCGGUCAAAGCCCGGGGCUCAACCCCGGCCCGCCGUUGAAACUGGCAGUCUCGAGUUGGAGAGAAGUAUGCGGAAUGCGCGGUGUAGCGGUGAAAUGCAUAGAUAUCGCGCAGAACUCCGAUUGCGAAGGCAGCAUGCCGGCUCCACACUGACGCUGAGGCACGAAAGCGUGGGUAUCGAACAGGAUUAGAUACCCUUGUAGUC
rnacentral:rRNA from 1 species